rnacentral:Y_RNA from 1 species
GGCUGCUCUGAAGGUAGUGAGUUAUCUGAAUCGAUUGGUCACAAUCAGUUACAGGUUAAAUUCGUUCUAUUCUUUCCUCCCUUCUCACUACUGUACUUGACUAAUCUUUA